GGUUCUCGCGAUUAAUAGGGAAUCCUGUGUAAAUCAGGAGCUAUGCCCGUAGCUGUGAGUUCCGUUUUUGCUUCCGGUAUUAUGUGCCACUGACCUUCGGGACGGGAAGGCACCGGAAGAGGAACAAGCCAGAAGACCUGCCCGUUUCC
rnacentral:ncRNA from 1 species